UUGAUCAAUGCUCUUAAAAUUGUGGUAUCAUCGUUAGAAAAUCUGUAUCGAGGAAUUUGACUGAUUUACAUCCACACAUCUGCAUCUGGGAGGCUCUGGAAUUAAAUAGUCAUGACUGAGCGAGUGUUUGUGUUUGUUGAUGAAGAGGAGCUUUUCAGCGUGAUGAAGGAUCUUGACUGUCUGUACUGUAGGAACCCAGUGACUGCAUCUAAACAUCACCUCAAAAAGAGACAUCUCCGAUUCGCUGUGUAUUAUAAAGACUCUGGCAUUGGGAAGUUUUCUAUCCCCUGUUAUUGUUCUGAUGGAGGCCAUGGCAGGAGCCACUGGCAUUGCCCAAUGUGCUCAAAAAUAUUGCAAAGGACAAAGGAUUACAAAAUCCAUAUUACCAACCACGGUGUUGAGAUGACUGACAAAUCCACAGUUGAGCUACAACCUACAACAGUCCUGUUGGAGAGCCAACAAACAGACAACGAAGACAAGACUCUGGGCAACAAGUCAGCGUGCCAAAAGUGUGGCAUCUUCUUCACCACCACAUCAAAUUUGAGACGGCACGAGAGACUACAGCACAGCCAGAACCAGCAGCCCAUGUUAUGCAUAGAUGCCAAAAAUGCCAUCUAUGUUACACCUAAGGAUCUGCACGGACCUAGAGUGCCCAUUCAUAUCCGCAAAUCCUUCGCCUUACAGAUACUGCUGUGUGAGCUGGAGGAAUGCUGGGAUUUCAUGAAAGCACAGGCCCAGAGCGGGAAUCCUGGUAAAGAGUGCCGUCACCUCGUGAGAACUAAUCACGCGCAGCACUACGUUCCCCCUCCACCGCUGUGUGUCAGCUCUCUGGAGGAGAUGACCGACAAACACCUCCUGUCCAUAUCGGAGAAACAAGAGUGCCAGGAGAUGAACUCCAGGGCAUGUUUAGAGGGAGCCGAUUGUGUGUACCCUAUUUUUUGGGGGGAGCAUGACCUUCCAGAGAGAUGUGUCUACUUUUCUGUGUACACAGACCUCAAGGACAAAUGGUGUCAGUUUGGGAGGACACGCGUCUCGUUUGACACCAAGUCUGGCAGCUGGAAGUGUCUAUGUGAACACAAAAGAAACCGUUGCGUCCACAAGCAUUUAUCUAUGUGGUGGUUGUUUCAGGAGCAUCCCAGAUUGUUGCAAAAUGCCCUAGAUAUCAACGCUGAAAGAGUCGACGUGGUCAUGGAUGAAGAGGUUAAAAUGUGUCCUGAGGGUGACAACCUCUGCUAGCCUCGACAUCCAUCAGAACUGCACUCUCGUGUUCUGUCUUCACUCAAUAAAAACACUUGCCAUACACUUUAUUUUGCCUUGUAGUUUGUUAACAGUUGGUUUGCAAAAAUUCAUGUGCUGUGCUGUGCUAUGUUUAGUGUUGUGGG
rnacentral:lncRNA from 1 species